GGCCUAUUAGCUCAGUUGGUUAGAGCGUCGUGCUAAUAACGCGAAGGUCGCAGGUUCGAGGUCGCAGGUUCGAGACCUGCAUAGGCCA
rnacentral:tRNA from 1 species